rnacentral:rRNA from 1 species
AACGAACGCUGGCGGCAUGCCUAACACAUGCAAGUCGAACGAUUGCCUUCGGGUGAUAGUGGCGCACGGGUGCGUAACGCGUGGGAAUCUGCCCUUAGGUUCGGAAUAACAGCUGGAAACGGCUGCUAAUACCGGAUGAUAUCGCGAGAUCAAAGAUUUAUCGCCUGAGGAUGAGCCCGCGUUGGAUUAGGUAGUUGGUGGGGUAAAGGCCUACCAAGCCGACGAUCCAUAGCUGGUCUGAGAGGAAGAUCAGCCACACUGGGAACGAGACCAGGCCCAGACCUCCAACGGAGGCAGCAGGUGGGAAAAUGUGACAAAGGGCGCAAACCCGAACCAACAAGUCCGCGGUAGUGAUUAAGGCCCUAAGGUGUUAAAGCUCUUUUACCCGGGAAAAUAAGGAAUUGACCGGGAGAAGAAGCCCCGGCCAACUCCGU